rnacentral:tRNA from 1 species
GAGGGCAUAGCUCAGUGGAAGAGUGCAUGCUUAACAUGCACAAGGUCCUGGGUUCAAUCCCCAGUACCUCUG